GAUGAACGCUGGCGGCGUGCUUAACACAUGCAAGUCGAACGGAAAGGCCCAAGCUUGUUUGGGUUCUCGAUUGGCGAACGGGUGAGUAACACGUGGGUGAUCUGCCCUGCACUUCGGGAUAAGCCUGGGAAACUGGGCCUAAUAUCGGAUAGCACACCACCUUGGAUGUUGUGGUGGAAAGUUUUUUCCGUGUGGGAUGAGCUCGCGGCCUAUCAGCUUGUUGGUGGGGUAAUGGCCUACCAAGGCGUCGACGGGUAGCCGGCCUGAGAGGGUGUACGGCCACAUUGGGACUGAGAUACGGCCCAGACGCCUACGGGAGGCAGCAGGGGGGAAUAUUGCACAAUGGGCGCAAGCCUGAUGCAGCGACGCCGCGUGGGGGAUGACGGCCUUCGGGUUGUAAACUCCUUUCGCUAGGGACGAAGCGUUUUGUGACGGUACCUGGAGAAGAAGCACCGGCUAACUACGUG
rnacentral:rRNA from 1 species